UACGGAGGGUGCAAGCGUUAUCCGGAUUCACUGGGUUUAAAGGGUGCGUAGGUGGGCAGGUAAGUCAGCGGUGAAAUCCCCGAGCUUAACUUGGGAACUGCCAUUGAUACUAUCUGUCUUGAAUACCUUGGAGGUGAGCGGAAUAUGUCAUGUAGCGGUGAAAUGCUUAGAUAUGACAUAGAACACCAAUUGCGAAGGCAGCUCACUACACGGUCAUUGACACUGAGGCACGAAAGCGUGGGGA
rnacentral:rRNA from 1 species